rnacentral:sRNA from 1 species
GCCGGGCGUGGUGACGCACCCCUGUAACCCCAGUGACUUAGGAGGCUGAGGCAGGAGGAUCGCAAGUACAAAGCCAGCCUCAG